AAUUUUUUGCGAUCUGUGAAAAACACGAAGAAGAUGACUUUCAGCGGCAGCACGGUAGAUGAGUGGAAGAGGUUAUGGAUACCGAAGACCAUAAGCAGGUUAUGUUGGGAAGGGCAAGCGAGGCGAGCUCCUUGGAAUUUACUCUGAAGCAAUGCAUCCAGGCCCGUCGCCA